UGAACUGGCAAAAUGCAGUCUUCGCCUUGGCAGUGCGCCGCCGGACAGGGCCCCGUGCCCAUCCCGGAUGAGUGCACUCGAGCUUUCCGUGCGCAAGUAUCGAGAGCAGCCUGACAAAAGCGUAAUACGACCAGAGCUAGGCCUUAGCUUCGAUUCUUUGGGCGAGGCAUAUGAUUUCUAUAAUCUGUACUCAGUACUCCUGGGAGAUCGGGUUUGGAAUAAGAUACAGCAAGAGCCGUCUAAAUGCUGGAAGAACGAAAUGCAUGCAAGAAAUCGUCCGUGGUUGCUCAGGAAAACCAGAAGCCGAGAACAGCAAGUCGUGCAGAUGCGAGUGCCCAGCACUAAUCAGACUUCUGCGUGCAUGAGCUGAUUCGCAUUUCUGGGACAGCUAUGCGUCAGCAGCUCCUUGAGCCGCGAGCACUCGAUCACGAGCUCGCGUCUAUCAUCAUAAGAAGGUACACUCAAUCCGACCAGGAAGCUACUUCAGACUUCAGAGUGCCCAUACAUGAAAUGGAGGCACAAUAUGGAGCCUGGAUUCACGACGAUUGUAUUAGCGGACCAUGAAUAUGUCACCAACAUUUCAAUCCAGGACCAGCUUGUUGGAAAGGAUAUCCCUUAUGACAUAACCUCAUCUCAGAUGUUCUUUCUACCAGUUCCACUCGAAGAAGGGUGGAUACUUCUGAUGUGGGACAUGAUUCAAGGAAACUCCAUGUCAUUGACCCCUUCAUCAAAGGUGACGGCCCAAGCGAAGCAUCAAAAGAUAAGCAUGAAAUGAUUGCCUGGAAGCUGCACCAUGCAUUAUUCCAGUGCCUUAAUGAGUAUUAUGCUGGAUGGCCUACGCAAGGUGGUCAGUGGGUGACCAAGUACCCGGUUGUAGCGGAAGAAACUUUUACUAAGGGUGAAACUGGAGCUUGCGUGCUUCAUGUUGUCAGGCACUAUGACCGCUCUAAGUUGAAGAUCCCGCUAACAAAGAACAACUUCGACAAAACAAAAAAGCAAGCACUACAUGAGUGCCUUAAACUACAGGGGAACUCGUCAAAGUUGGCGCACAAUGAACUCUGGACGGUACUAGCACCCAGUGACUCAUGGCUUGACUCCAGCUAGUCCAUUUAGUGGGAAAAUAUAGUCUCCCAAAAGGAUAUGAGUGCCGUGUGACGGUAUUUUCUUUCUUGUGCCGUGUGACGGUAUUUUCUUUCUUGUGCCGUGUGACGGUAUCCAUGAAUGUUUUUCUUUUCCCUUCUUAUUUACCGUAACCCCAUGCUUUAUGCGAGGGCUAUAUUUAAAUUCGACGAUGUAGAACCAGAUACAUCAUUAUGCCUGUAAG